UACUUGUCAAUAGGGCUGCUUAAGCGUGCCACAUUUGGCCGCCAAGUACCAGGAAUCAGCCAAUCGGUCACAUAUGCACCUCCUGGAGUUCGUCCACUCACGACUCUGCCUACUCAAGCUGUCAACUUCAUGAAAGGUCCAAAUGGAAGACAAUACAACACCUUCAUAAACCUCCUUUUACAAGCUCCUAGUUAGGUCUAUAUCACCUUCUAACAGACAGCAGCACUUACCUUUAAAAGUGCUCGUUUUAUAAGAGGAUGGGCAGUGGACUUAUAACACACCCAUCCUGGAGAGGGAAUAGGUAGCUCACCAUGUCUUUUUGGACAUUCAACCACUCUGCAAAGUUGGAAAUAUCAGUAUGGGCUACAUAUUGUUGCCAUUUCCUACCUUGCUUUCAGUUGCCUCAUGUGGCAAACACACCAGAGAUACAAGUUGAUACACAUGGACACAUGGUGCCCUUGUUGCCUCAGUAAUCUGGGUUGAUUUGCUGAGAGCUCUUGGAGGUCCUGAGGAUGCUUCUGUUUUUACAGUCACUAUUUAUGGUGCCAAUGCGUAAUGUUUGUCUGCUUCUUCGCUGCUUCUUCCCCCCGAAAUGCUGUGGAGAUUUACACUCAUCCUUCCACCGCCUUCCUCCUCGCUCUCUCUUUUCCCAGGAGCCCCCAGCGCUCCGUUUCCCUCCCCAGGGACACCGUGGACACCAUGGCUAAAUCACCACUAAUGCGCCUUAACAUGUGCCAGACACAGGCCGUUUUGUGGACUUGGAAUGACACUAUUUCACCCAGCAGGGCUUUGGGUUAUGCAUCCUCCUGACUGCCUGUGAGCCUCCUUAAAGCCUCUGGUUCUCAUUGUCUCUUAAUUGGUGUUAGAUUCCCACCACCUUUGUUCCACUUAGAAUUAGAAACAGACAAAUAGAAUGGGAGACAGCAGAGUAAAUCUGGGUGGCUGUAGGUUUGUGGGAAGGUUUCCCAGUAGUAUCAAACAGUGUUUGCUUCACAUCCAAUGUCUAUCCACAGAAUGUCACUGAGUUUACAUUGCUGAAGAGAGAAGGGCUUAGUUGGUGAAAUGGCAGCAACAUGAUUAAAAGGAAAUGUUGAAGUGUC